rnacentral:tRNA from 1 species
GAGCCAUUAGCUCAGUUGGUAGAGCAUCUGACUUUUAAUCAGAGGGUCGAAGGUUCGAGUCCACUUAGGCCCACCA